UCCCAAUUUAACGCUAUCCCUACUUUGACAUGUUAUAUUCCAAAUGUAUUUAUUGAUACUGUGUACAUUUUUUGUCAUUUCUGAUGUCUUUAACAGUUGUUUUAUGUGUGUUUUUCAGGAUUACAUUUCUGUGCGGAAGGAUUAAAAAACUACACCAGACUGGUGGCCAUGACAGAUGUCAGUGGGAAAUUUAAACAUGGACUAGAUACUUUGAUGUGUAGCAAAAAAGUUCAUCGUUGAUGGUGGUGUUUUUCUGUGAUAUAUUGACUGGGAUAGUAUUACUCUUCAGAAAUACAGAGCUGUCAAUGCUGCAAUUUUGUUGUGAAAUUCACAAUCCAUGUCCAAAAGUGCUUGUUUUACUAUACAGCAAAGAAGGAGAAAUUGUACCGGGCCGACACCAAUAUGGCAAAUUCAGAAAGUGGAAUAUCUCAGCAACCAUAGGGUUUACAGUCAUGAAACUUCACACACUAGUAGCUGAUAACAAUACAAAUUAGUGGCUAAAAGGAUAUUUCCAAGGCGAUGAAUUCCAUAUGUCAGAAGGAAAUUUAGAAUCGUACAACCAGUCAGCAGCUACCCAUAAACCAGACCAACCUAUUAAGUCGAGCGGGCAGAAGCUGUGAUUCCCAGUGUAACACCGCAGAAUGACGGCUAGUUUUCGGAUUACAUUUCUGUGCGGAAGGAUUAAAAAACUACACCAGACUGGUGGCCAUGACAGAUGUCAGUGGGAAAUUUAAACAUGGACUAGAUACUUUGAUGUGUAGCAAAAAAGUUCAUCGUUGAUGGUGGUGCUUUUCUGUGAUAUAUUGACUGGGAUAGUAUUACUCUUCAGAAAUACAGAGCUGUCAAUGCUGCAAUUUUGUUGUGAAAUUCACAAUCCAUGUCCAAAAGUGCUUGUUUUACUAUACAGCAAAGAAGGA